UCUCUCUCUAGGGAUACGGUCUGUGUUGUGCUGUGUGUGCUGUGGACUGUGGUGCGUGCCAUCACGUGAACCCGAGCGUUGGCCGUAUGCACCAGCGACUCCUUCAUCAAUUAAAAGGAAAACCAUUGCCCUUGGUUUUUGGUAUCAGGCAGCAACGCCAAGUUGCAUGGCGUUUGCAGCCCGUACAGAAACGUCAUGGUUCAUGACGUU
rnacentral:lncRNA from 1 species